rnacentral:rRNA from 1 species
UUAAGCGACUAAGCGUACACGGUGGAUGCCCUGGCAGUCAGAGGCGAUGAAGGACGUGCUAAUCUGCGAUAAGCGUCGGUAAGGUGAUAUGAACCGUUAUAACCGGCGAUUUCCGAAUGGGGAAACCCAGUGUGUUUCGACACACUAUCAUUAACUGAAUCCAUAGGUUAAUGAGGCGAACCGGGGGAACUGAAACAUCUAAGUACCCCGAGGAAAAGAAAUCAACCGAGAUUCCCCCAGUAGCGGCGAGCGAACGGGGAGCAGCCCAGAGCCUGAAUCAGUGUGUGUGUUAGUGGAAGCGUCUGGAAAGGCGCGCGAUACAGGGUGACAGCCCCGUACACAAAAAUGCACAUGCUGUGAGCUCGAUGAGUAGGGCGGGACACGUGGUAUCCUGUCUGAAUAUGGGGGGACCAUCCUCCAAGGCUAAAUACUCCUGACUGACCGAUAGUGAACCAGUACCGUGAGGGAAAGGCGAAAAGAACCCCGGCGAGGGGAGUGAAAAAGAACCUGAAACCGUGUACGUACAAGCAGUGGGAGCACGCUUAGGCGUGUGACUGCGUACCUUUUGUAUAAUGGGUCAGCGACUUAUAUUCUGUAGCAAGGUUAACCGAAUAGGGGAGCCGAAGGGAAACCGAGUCUUAACUGGGCGUUAAGUUGCAGGGUAUAGACCCGAAACCCGGUGAUCUAGCCAUGGGCAGGUUGAAGGUUGGGUAACACUAACUGGAGGACCGAACCGACUAAUGUUGAAAAAUUAGCGGAUGACUUGUGGCUGGGGGUGAAAGGCCAAUCAAACCGGGAGAUAGCUGGUUCUCCCCGAAAGCUAUUUAGGUAGCGCCUCGUGAAUUCAUCUCCGGGGGUAGAGCACUGUUUCGGCAAGGGGGUCAUCCCGACUUACCAACCCGAUGCAAACUGCGAAUACCGGAGAAUGUUAUCACGGGAGACACACGGCGGGUGCUAACGUCCGUCGUGAAGAGGGAAACAACCCAGACCGCCAGCUAAGGUCCCAAAGUCAUGGUUAAGUGGGAAACGAUGUGGGAAGGCCCAGACAGCCAGGAUGUUGGCUUAGAAGCAGCCAUCAUUUAAAGAAAGCGUAAUAGCUCACUGGUCGAGUCGGCCUGCGCGGAAGAUGUAACGGGGCUAAACCAUGCACCGAAGCUGCGGCAGCGACACUAUGUGUUGUUGGGUAGGGGAGCGUUCUGUAAGCCUGCGAAGGUGUGCUGUGAGGCAUGCUGGAGGUAUCAGAAGUGCGAAUGCUGACAUAAGUAACGAUAAAGCGGGUGAAAAGCCCGCUCGCCGGAAGACCAAGGGUUCCUGUCCAACGUUAAUCGGGGCAGGGUGAGUCGACCCCUAAGGCGAGGCCGAAAGGCGUAGUCGAUGGGAAACAGGUUAAUAUUCCUGUACUUGGUGUUACUGCGAAGGGGGGACGGAGAAGGCUAUGUUGGCCGGGCGACGGUUGUCCCGGUUUAAGCGUGUAGGCUGGUUUUCCAGGCAAAUCCGGAAAAUCAAGGCUGAGGCGUGAUGACGAGGCACUACGGUGCUGAAGCAACAAAUGCCCUGCUUCCAGGAAAAGCCUCUAAGCAUCAGGUAACAUCAAAUCGUACCCCAAACCGACACAGGUGGUCAGGUAGAGAAUACCAAGGCGCUUGAGAGAACUCGGGUGAAGGAACUAGGCAAAAUGGUGCCGUAACUUCGGGAGAAGGCACGCUGAUAUGUAGGUGAAGUCCCUCGCGGAUGGAGCUGAAAUCAGUCGAAGAUACCAGCUGGCUGCAACUGUUUAUUAAAAACACAGCACUGUGCAAACACGAAAGUGGACGUAUACGGUGUGACGCCUGCCCGGUGCCGGAAGGUUAAUUGAUGGGGUCAGCGCAAGCGAAGCUCUUGAUCGAAGCCCCGGUAAACGGCGGCCGUAACUAUAACGGUCCUAAGGUAGCGAAAUUCCUUGUCGGGUAAGUUCCGACCUGCACGAAUGGCGUAAUGAUGGCCAGGCUGUCUCCACCCGAGACUCAGUGAAAUUGAACUCGCUGUGAAGAUGCAGUGUACCCGCGGCAAGACGGAAAGACCCCGUGAACCUUUACUAUAGCUUGACACUGAACAUUGAGCCUUGAUGUGUAGGAUAGGUGGGAGGCUUAGAAGUGUGGACGCCAGUCUGCAUGGAGCCGACCUUGAAAUACCACCCUUUAAUGUUUGAUGUUCUAACGUUGACCCGUAAUCCGGGUUGCGGACAGUGUCUGGUGGGUAGUUUGACUGGGGCGGUCUCCUCCUAAAGAGUAACGGAGGAGCACGAAGGUUGGCUAAUCCUGGUCGGACAUCAGGAGGUUAGUGCAAUGGCAUAAGCCAGCUUGACUGCGAGCGUGACGGCGCGAGCAGGUGCGAAAGCAGGUCAUAGUGAUCCGGUGGUUCUGAAUGGAAGGGCCAUCGCUCAACGGAUAAAAGGUACUCCGGGGAUAACAGGCUGAUACCGCCCAAGAGUUCAUAUCGACGGCGGUGUUUGGCACCUCGAUGUCGGCUCAUCACAUCCUGGGGCUGAAGUAGGUCCCAAGGGUAUGGCUGUUCGCCAUUUAAAGUGGUACGCGAGCUGGGUUUAGAACGUCGUGAGACAGUUCGGUCCCUAUCUGCCGUGGGCGCUGGAGAACUGAGGGGGGCUGCUCCUAGUACGAGAGGACCGGAGUGGACGCAUCACUGGUGUUCGGGUUGUCAUGCCAAUGGCACUGCCCGGUAGCUAAAUGCGGAAGAGAUAAGUGCUGAAAGCAUCUAAGCACGAAACUUGCCCCGAGAUGAGUUCUCCCUGACUCCUUGAGAGUCCUGAAGGAACGUUGAAGACGACGACGUUGAUAGGCCGGGUGUGUAAGCGCAGCGAUGCGUUGAGCUAACCGGUACUAAUGAACCGUGAGGCUUAACCU